rnacentral:rRNA from 1 species
AGAUUCACUUCGGUGAUGACGCUGGGAACGCGAGCGGCGGAUGGGUGAGUAACACGUGGGUAACCUGCCCUAAAGUCUGGGAUACCACUUGGAAACAGGUGCUAAUACCGGAUAACAACAAUAGCUGCAUGGCUAUUGCUUAAAAGGCGGCGAAAGCUGUCGCUAAAGGAUGGACCCGCGGUGCAUUAGCUAGUUGGUAAGGUAAUGGCUUACCAAGGCGACGAUGCAUAGCCGAGUUGAGAGACUGAUCGGCCACAUUGGGACUGAGACACGGCCCAAACUCCUACGGGAGGCAGCAGUGGGGAAUCUUCCACAAUGGGCGAAAGCCUGAUGGAGCAACGCCGCGUGAGUGAAGAAGGUUUUCGGAUCGUAAAGCUCUGUUGUUGGUGAAGAAGGAUAGAGGUAGUAACUGGCCCCUAUUUGACGGUAAUCAACCAGAAGGUCACGGCUAACUACGUGCCAGCAGCCGCGGUAAUACGUAGGUGGCAAGCGUUGUCCGGAUUUAUUGGGCGUAAAGCGAGCGCAGGCGGAAAGAUAAGUCUGAUGUGAAAGCCCCCGGCUUAACCGAGGAAUUGCAUCGGAAACUGUGUUUCUUGAGUGCAGAAGAGGAGAGUGGAACUCCAUGUGUAGCGGUGGAAUGCGUAGAUAUAUGGAAGAACACCAGUGGCGAAGGCGGCUCUCUGGUCUGUAACUGACGCUGAGGCUCGGAAGCAUGGGUAGCGAACAGGAUUAGAUACCCUGGUAGUCCAUGCCGUAAACGAUGAGUGCUAAGUGUUGG